CACGGGGGUUGCGAGCGUUGUCCGGAAUUACUAGGCGUAAAGGGCAGGCAGGCGGAUCCAUAAGUUUAUCGUUUAAGGCGUCGGCUUAACCGGCGUAGGGCGGUAGAUACUGUGGAUCUGGAAUGCGGUUGGGGAAGACAGAAUUCCUGGUGUAGCGGUGGAAUGCGCAGAGAUCAGGAGGAAUACCGAAGGCGAAGGCAGCUUACUAAGCCAUAACUGACGCUCAAGCACGAAGGCGUGGGGAUCAAACAGGAUUAGAUACCCGCGUAGUCCCUGA
rnacentral:rRNA from 1 species